UAAAAAUUGUCCAAUGAUUUUUAUUUCUGAUUCAAAAAGUUAUACCUACUUAUUGUUUGUUCUCUUCACAUGAUUUAGCAAACAGACAGUUAACAAUACUAUGUACACCCACCUUAUAGUCAGUAAACACAACACAAAAACGACACAUAUGUGACAUUGUUAUUAAUUAGUAAUUUUGUUCGUUUCUUAUUUGCCUUGUCUAUUACCUACACAUAAUAUGAUUAUGUCUGUAGCACUUUUAGCCCUAUAUGUUUGUAAUUACAGUAAAUAAACUGCAAUAAUUAAAACAUUCUCAGCACUUGCCCUAUGUUUGUCUCGAAGUGCUGCUUAAAACAAAAGACGGAAGACCGCACGUGGUGUGUUAUGUCUGCUACCAUUUAUUGAGCAAGUGUCACAAAUUCAUUGAAAGUGCCGUUAAAACUGACAAAGUUCUUCAACGACUAUGUAGCAGUGGUAUACAGUUAACCGAGCAGCAUAUUGCAGCGAUAGACAAGGCUUUCUUACUCACACCAUUAACUAAGUCACGCGUUAUAAAUGUAAACGCAAUAAGCGAUUCAGACGGAGUCAGUAUAGAAGUGGCCGAAGUCAAGAGAGAAAUUGAAGAAGAUAAGCCUAUAUAUUAUGAGGUGGAAGUUGUUAAAGAUAAAGCUGAUUCUUUAGGGUUUGACGGUAUAAAUAAUACAGAACAUAGUUCAAAACAGUACGCUUGUACUAUCUGUGGUCAUUGCUUGCUGACCAAGUAAGUAUCCUACUAAUAUGUACCUUAUAUGCAUAUCUAAAAAUUUCUUCUUCUUCUCCUCAAUGGCUAUUGUGUUUCCACGUUUGCCAAUGUCACGUGAGCAUAGCCAUUACACGGUAUAUGAAGUUAUAAACCUUGGGGUUGAGUGCUAUUAGGUAUAGUCUAGCGUGCACACCUAAAACAGACAAACACAACGGCACAAAUAAGACAACACAGUUAGUAUAUACUAAUAAAAUCACAAAA